GGGAGAUAAUGCACAUGGUAUCAGGCCAGCAGAGCCACGUCUCUGCGCUGCAAUAUUUCUCUCUCGCACAUUCCCCCACGGUUUGCAUCGCUCUCUUUUCUCUUUUUGAUGGUUGGCCCUGGCAGCGGGAUGCUUUUUUGUUGACUGCUUCAAAACCGAUCCAUGUGAAAGCAAGCGUGAAGCCUACGAAUUGUUCCACUAGAAAGGGGCACAGGAGCCUUUACAGUGGAGACUGUCCCAGCAGGCCUCUAUCAAAAUCUUGACAAUGCUUUGUCUUCCCCCAAAUCUUAGUGCUUCCUCAGAUACCCAGCCCCGAACCAAAGCGUUUCCGCCCUUCCUGUAGUGCCUCAGAGCUAAGAAAUUCUGCAGCACUCCUUCUCCCUCCCCAUCGCUAGGGAACAACUUCGCCAGAAAGAUGCUUACUAAAGUCCCUGAAGUCCCUGGAGAAAAGGACAAGAGCUCAGAGGCAGAAACCUCUGUCCAUUGAGAUGUUUUGAAUACCCUGGACUGAGAUUUCUGGAAAAAAUAUGGGGACUCUGAAAUGUGAGAAGGAGCACAGUGAACGAAAAGCAAAUGUGGACUUUUUUCUCAUGCCACGAAAGAGACGAUGUGGGGGACAUCCCUAGUCACUCUGGAAUCCUCUCCUCUGAUAAUGAACGUGAGCAUUUCACCAUCACAGGAACUUCUGCUCCAGGAAAGAGUUUCUGAGGUUGAUGCUCCAUGGAGAAGGGAAGGGAGUCUUUGUCUUUCCCAGGAGCAUCUCUAAUUAGAGCUGAGCAUGUGUCUACUGUUUAUAACACAGGUAAUGGAAGAAGGAUUGAUUUUUCUCUACAAAUAUUAUAGGCUAAAUCACAAUAGAUCUAAGCAGUUCCCAGUAUUGUCCUAGUCCCAAACAUCUAGAUAUAACCAAGCAUCCUUUGAAACCAUUCUCUUUUGUUCUGUGUGCAAAUUCCAGUUUGCUAGGGCAUACAUGUAAAAAACAAGUCGGUUUUCCUGCUAAGCCCAACUUUCCCCUUCAGCUCAACCUGCCCCUUCCAUGCCAAAUGAAAGAGGUGACCCUUUGUACAAGGGGACCCUAACCUUGCCAGUCAGAGCUAAUCAAACAGAGUGCACUCUUAAAGACGGUCAUUGCCAAGACUGAUCAGAUUCUCUCAAGAAUUUGAACUCAGACACACUGACACAGUUUUCGUUUGGUGGUGGACAAGUGUAGUCAAGGCCAGAGAUGGAAGGACGGCAGUUGAAAGCCAUGUGAAAAUCCACGUUGCAGGUGAAAACCUCAGUUCCUACUGAGGUGGUUGAGAGAGAAAGUUCCAGAGAGAAUAGACUAUGUGGCCACAGACAGAAGAGAAAGUAUCUGACUUGCUUCCUAACAGGAUGCUCACCUGUGAUAAUAAUAAUAUAAUAAGAGUGAUUAUUAUCAAAGCUAUUGUUUAUUUACUGCUUACUCUGUGUUGAGGUGCUAUUCCAAGCACUUUAUUUGUAUUAACACAUUUAAACCUCACAGCAAACUCAUGAAGUGGGUACUAUUAUCAUCCCCAUUUUAUAAUGAGAAACUGAGGCAGACAGAGGUCAGAUAAACACAACUAAUACCUUGGAUAUAAACCCACAAAGUCUGGUUCCAAAACCUUAUUUGGCCACCAAGCAAUCCCUCUUCUUAUAUACUACCUGAAUUGACUUCUUACUUGCCUUGGGUGAGACACUUCUGUAUGCUUUCAAGUUUGAGUAUUUUGUUGCUUAAAACCAAAUAAGCUCUAAAUCGAAACAGCAUAUCAAUUUAAUGGUCCUGAAGUCUAGCUAUAACAUGGGGGAGUGGACACUUGCAGUGUUUGCCUGUUCAAAUCUUUCUCCCCUCUCCCUCUCCCUCUUAGUACAUGUGCUUCCAGUAAGGCUGAUUCCAUCUCUGCUCUAGGAUGAGGCAAGUGUUGUAUCUUCUUGAACAGUGAUCAGCUUAGGGAUAUAUGUAUGACCCAACUUGGGUCAAUGAGGGUCAUCCUCAGGAUUUUGCUGGUGCUACCCAAAAAGAGGUCAUGGUUUCCUCUCUGGGAUCCUGAAUCUCAAGACCUGUGUAAGCCUGGAGUCACCUGGGAGUUAGCUUGGCCAUCAUGUAGAUAGACCCUGCUUGAGAAUCAAACUGCCACAGAGAAACACAAGACAAGAAAGAGAAGGCUCUGAUGAUAUUGUUGGACAUAGGGAUCCAGCUGUGCCUGAAGCCAGUUGAACUUUCCUUCCAAAUGUAAGAGCCAAUCAAGUCCUUUUCUUUUUAUUGACUUGAAUUAGGUCUUGUUUCUUAAACUGAAAGAGUUCUAAUAUAUAUAAUAAUUGUAUGUCAUGUAUGCCUGUGUUAAGCAAGGAUGUCCCCACUGCCAAAUGUCCUUGUCCUAAUCCCUACAACCUGUGAAUAUGUUGCUUUACAUGGCAAAGGGGAACUAAGGUCACUGAGGGAAUUCAGCUGACCAUGAAAUAGGGAGUAUAUCCUGCAUUAUCCCGGUGGGCCCAGUGUAACCACAAGGGUCUGUAAAAGUGGAAGGGGGAGGUGGAAGAAAAGAUCACAGUGAUGCAACGUGAGAGGCACUCAACCUGCUGUUGCUGGCUUUGAAGACGGAAGAAGAGCACCAGAAGCCAGGGAUGUGGGCAGCCUCUAGAAGCUAGAAAUGGUAAGGAAAGAAAACCAAUCCUCCCGUAGAGCCUCUAGAAAGGAACGCAGCCCUCCUGAUACCUGCAUUUUAGUCCAGCGCGACCUGUGUCCGACUUCUGACCAAUCUAUUUGUAAGAUAAACAUGUGUUGUUUGAAACCACUAAAUUUGUGGUGAUUUACAGCAGAAAUGGAAAACUAAUCCAGUGCCUACAAUGCCUGAGCUGGCUGUAGAAUACAAGGACCGUGUGUGGCUGUGGGUCUCACUUGGUAUGUAGCAUAUGCUCCGUUGGCACAGUCCCUCCAAGCCAUGCUGUCCUUUCAGCAAGAUGCGAUGCUUUUGCAAUCCUCUGAGGAGGAGGCAGUGCUCACUGUCUUACCCAAGCAGGGCUCGGAGCACGAAGCCUCUCGUGCCUGUGGAUAAUGCCAGCUAGACCCUUGUAGAGCACGACUAGUCAGUCCUACUCUCUAUUGUCUUCUAACACUCCCUGCUCUCAGGUUCUUAGACAUUUUCAUUAGUGUCUAAAGUAGAGCUUUCCUAGUUUGGGAUGUUCAUCCUUCUCUUUAAUUUUACAGUGACCCUCUUCCAAGAUAUGUCUUAAAAGUAAGAACGAAACAAAAAGGCAACUUCAAAACCCAAUGAAAAUUCUGUGAGCAUUUCAGCCAAAAAGAGACAGAGACAAAAUAAGCAAAAACAUCUGUUUUCCUAGAUUUUGAAAACAAGCUUCUGGGCCUAUGGUUCUUGUCUGGAUGGCCAAUAAAGAAGGAUUUGAAAGAGUUCCGAGUACUCCCAAAUAGCUGGUACAGUGAGGGGCUCUGAUUUCAUGCUCAGUCUUUCUGAGAACAGUCAGCCUCUGAACCCUUAAGAUACUCAUGGGCUUCCAGACUCGAAGGAGCAAGACUUAAUUUUUUUCAGUCUUUCCAGUUUUUCCAUGGAGAAUUUUCUUUUGGAACCCCACAGCCAUAUUCCCCAGGAAGCACUGUUUUAUAAGUGCUCUGUAAAAGAUAAGACAAACUCACGGUCUGUAGAUACCCCCAAUUUUAUUCGCUUAAUGUUAAGCUUAUGACAAAAUCCAGAAGUUUCCAAGUUAAGGGUAAAAGGUUAAAAAUGUCUGGCUUCUAUUUUGACUCAAAUCUGUAUGUAUAAGAGAAUGAGUUCAGUUAAGUUACAGGAAAAGGAACAUUUAUCAAUUCCCUGAUAUGCUUUUACACGGCGCUUUUACACAGAUGAUUGAAUUUAAUUCUUCACUGCAAUUUUUAAACUAGGUAUCAUCAGUUCUAUUUUAAGCUGAAAACCUGAUGAUCAGUGUGAUAUCAAGGAACUUGUUCAUGUUCCCAGGGCCAGUAAGUAUUAACAGUAGUAAGAGCCAAAAUUUGAACCCAUAUUUGCUAGCUCCAAAGUCUGUGUUCUUCCCUUGCACAAUGCUGACUAAAACCUUCUAGCCCAAUUUCAGCUUUGGCUCACACAUAUCUAAAGUAAAAACAUGACUGCUCCAUACAGUUUCUUAGGAUGUGCACUGCACAACUCCAGGAGGAGCCAUGGCAUCGUGCAAUUGAGGUAGCCCUUAGUAAAAACAUGGUGAGAUAUGGCCUUUCUGGGUGCAUUCCAUUCCUCUGUAUCCUCUAGGUAAGGUCUUUCCAGAAGACAGUGGCAGGCAAUGGGAAAAGCAGGCCAGUGAUACACUCUACAAUUAUCCCAGCAAGGUAAAAUAUAUGGGGCAUAGAGAAGUGGGGAGACAUAUGUGCUAAUCCUCAUUCUGGCAUCAAUCAACUAGUCCAUUUGGACCACAUGUAAAAGAAGGACCCUCACUGGUUGAGUUUUCUCAUCUGAGAAAUGAACACGUGGGUGGACACAAUUACUGGAUUUCAAGAUUGUUUGUAGGCUGUAGAAAACUUAUGCAGAAGCCCAGUAUGUGAAGCAGGCAAAUGCAAAGGGGUUCUUGCCAUGGGACUGGGAAGAAGGGACUCAGCCUGCUCGCUCACUCAGCUCCCUCCUUUUUACUAUCCUAUACCUCUGAGCACAGCUGGCCAAACCUAGCACUUGAUGAUCUUUUAUGAUCUAAAUAUCCUAACAUUUUAUAAUUUUGUGCAGAUUAUCAAUAUUCUCAGUAACUGCUGUGAAUUGCUCUCAGUGAAUUACCUAAAUUGCCUGUGACGGACCAAGUCCAGUGUGGGAGAAGUAUCUGUACAGAGCAGAGACUGAACGUGUCAGUGUCAAUGAAUAAUGCUUUAUCCAGUUGAGUUUCAACCUGAAACACGAAACCCCAGCAGCGAGCCAAUCAGGGGUUCAGUGGAAAAUAUGUGCAGGGCCAACCUCCAGAGACCCACAGUGGGUUUUGUUCUGUAGCAAUGGGGGGUAAGGGGAAAGGGGGGAAGGGGGGAGGGAGGAAUCCAAGGGAACAAUGUCUAUUGCCUUGGCCAAGGACUUAAUAAUUAGCUGUGACUAACAAAUACCACAUGGGAACCAACUUGUAAGAAAAUGUCCCACAAAGUACCCUAUUGCCAGUGGGCCAAGCUGAGCCUGCAACCCAUCCCCUCCCAGGGAGGAAUUAGAAAGCCCUGGAAGGAAGGAGAGCAACUUCAUCAGCCUGAAGCCACUGGACCGAAGACUCAGAUAGGUAGAAGCUGGGGAAGCUUUCAAGGUACCCUCCCCCCUGCUCUUGAAAUUAUAGGCACUUGGCCUCUCUGGGCUAGAAUUCCAGGGGCAGGGACUAAGGGAGUUAACAUAGGCAGAGUUUGUUCCAAACAAUGUCAAUACGAAACAGGUUUUCUAUAUGGAAGUUGAAAUGAAAUCGCUGCAAAGGUCAUCUCUGUUUGCAGUACACAGUGCGGUGGUGCAGGCAGAAGGGAGCUGCCCGGCCGUAAAUCUUGGGAGGCUCAGACAGGUGAAUGGCUGUUUACUCCCCUGCAAACUCCAGUGGGGGCUGGGCACCGCCUAGGAAAGCAGGAUGUGGAAGCAGGAAGUUGGUGCUUGUUGUGCUCAGGUGAGCUACUGGUGUGACAGGCCAGUGCCUGCAAAUUCUCAGUGGACAGACAAGUCCCGAGCUGGCUGCAUCACAAAGACUCAGGUUCUUAUUAAUAUGGUGUCCUGGGUGCUUUCUGCAGUGCCUAAGGAUUGGCAUCCCCGGGGCAGCUCCACUGUGGUUCUGCACAGAAGCUGCGAUGGGAAAAGGGCAAGGACUUACACAACACCCAGACUUAGGAGCCGGCAGGCUGGGUGUGCCAACUAGUGCCAUGAGGACCUAGAGGGGCUAUAAAAGCUAGCCAUUCUUAAUUUGCAGGCAGUGGUUAAGAGCAUGCAUUAUGGAGUCAGAUCCACGUUCAAGAUCCAGACCUGCCACUUAUUAGCUUCUCCGAACUUCAGUUUCCUCAUUUUUCAAAUAAUAACAGAAUAUCAGCCCAUGUAGAUAAAGUGAGCUAACUUAUGUAAAAUUGUUGGCAGAGUACUGGCACAGAGUGUUAACAUGCAGCUUUUAAUGUAUAUAUGAUAUGUAUUAUCAAUAUGCAUGCAUGUGUGUAUAUACAUGCACGCACACACAGAGUUGCUCAUAUUUUUUCUUCCUAGAAUUUCCCAAGUAACAGCUUUUCAAAUCAUAGACCCUCCCGCUCCUGACUUCUGAAAAAGUCCCAGAUAAAUAGGCGUUACUAGGUGGCUGGACAGAGCCUGAUCUCCUCCGACUGAUUACUUAUUCAAAGGCCCUUCCUCAGUCCACUUUUGAGUGGAAAUUUUUCAGAAAGGCAUUCGCUCCCUUGCUUGCUCACUCACUGGCUCGGUCUUGCAUAGACAAUCCUGUGGAAUGUGAGAGCACGGGGCAAACCGGUUAGUCAAGGCUGCUUAGCCAGCUAGUACAGGUGGUUAGAUUUUGACAAGAUCUUAAAUUGGGGAAGUUCAGAGAAGGGGUUACUUUGGGUCCUUGGAAUAUUUAUAACAGGGGGCACAGAGAGGUUCACUGGAGGAAUUGACAAGCUACUAAUUAAUGCAUCACUGCUGCCUGGCACCUCCAUUAAGCAAAACUCGGAAAGCGGGAGCCAAUUUUCACAUACACUUUCUUUUCUAAACGGUAGCCCUUCCGAAUCGCAACCUUCUUCCCGCCUGGCACUCUCAGCCGCCAGUGGCCCCUCUCCGACUGCACAGCACACCAGGUCCAGGAGAAGCUAAUUUAACCACCGCUGGUUAAAAUCAUACUGCACUUCACAGCGCCUUUCACAUGCCAUGAAGCUGUCAUGAUAAUUCUUGAUCUCUAGCUCACCUGACAGCUCAGCCCUCCCUUGACUGCAAAGCUUCCCCGCCAGUUAGAAAUAGCAGUUUCCCUGGCACCAGAUGUGUCAUCCUGAAUAUCCAGAUGAAAGGCAGACACCUGCCCCCUGCUCCCUCCCCGCCCUGCCUCGUUUUCCCUUCUUAGCUCUGGAUUUUGUUUAAGAAGGCAGCCUUCUCCCACCACCCCCAAGUCCCUCCACCUGGCAGCUGGUGGAACAUGGAUGAAAGAAUUGGAAGAAUUUGGUAUCUACUUAGACUUCACUCUUUGGCUGCAAGGCAAUUUCCUCCAGAGGAUUUAGAAUGUGGACACCAAAGAAUGGAGUGGAUCCAUCACAAAAGCAAUGGGAUGAUGGCAUUUGAUACGGGUGGGCCAGCUUUGAAUAACAGGAAGACACUGACUUGGUAGUUAGAAGACAGGGGUUCCAGUCAUGGCUCUUUCAACUAACUUGCUAUGCAAUGUGCUGCUAGUACCCUCUCUGAAUUCCUGCUUCUUCACCUGUAAAAUGGGGAUAAAAAUUCCUGUGAAAUUUGCAAGACUGUCAAACAAAUGCCUGUAUAAUUUUUGAGUCGCAAAUAAACAGAAAGCACCUUCUGAUGAAAUGUCUUCGAAUUCCCAUGUCAUUUCUUGUCUGUGUGGCCUGUUUGUGCUGUUCAAAAGCUCAGAGGAAUUGGAAUAAGUGACAAAUAGGUCAGAUGUAAGUUAAAGUGCUGGCCCCAUUUAUCUACCAUUUUGGCUCUAAACGACUAGCUUCGGUACAGACCGAUUUAGUGAUGUGAGAAAACUGUGACUGCAAACAGGCGGUACACACACAAUCAGAGGAGUAAAAAGCUUAAGCUGCCCCUGCAAUUCAGAGGUUAAAGCAAGCACACAGACCCAGUGUCUCCCUCACUUCUUGCCAGCCGACCAUAUAUUAUUAAUUGGGCUCAGCAAACAUUAUUGAGCGCCUUCUCCUGCAGAACUCUCUGGGAAGGUGCUCUGGGGAGAUCUAAAUACAAAGCGAGGCAGAGCCCCACCCUUCCCCAACCUGCCAUCUGGUUGGGAUAACAAGAUCGUCACAGGCAAAACUGUUCUCCCCUAUCUCUGCCCAUUAAAAUUUCACUGAGCCCUCAAGGCUCAACUAGUAAUUAGAUUUUCCCCAAGAAGCUUUCCCCAAUCCCCUCAUCCCUUUGCUUAACCCUCAUUUCUGGCAUUUAUCAGACUCCGCAUUUUUACUGGCUGAUGUGUGUGUUUAAAAAAAAAAUUAUUUCCCACCUCAUUCCAACAAGCAUUUGAGUCCAAGUUGUGUUAUGGGUAUGUCUAUCUUCCCCAGUGAAUCGCGAAACACGUCCUAUUUAUCUUGGUGUCCCCCAAGAUCUAGCACAGGGCCUGACACAAAAUAGAUGUCAAGAAAAUACUCAUAAUAAUGAAAAAAGGCAAGACAGUUUAGCAUAAGUGCCCAAGGGAGUGAGCCGAUAAUAUGUGUGGCUGGAGGUUAGGAUAGGGCAAGAAAGAUUAAGGUUGGGCUUUUAAAAAGCAAAGGCCAUUUAAAAAUACUGGAUUAGAUAUGUCACAGGCCUGUGUGGCCCAAUAUGACAGCCACAUGUGGCUACUGAGCACUUGAAAUGUGACUAGUCUGAACUGAGAUGUGUUAAGUGUGAAAUACACACCUGAUUUUACAUACGUCAUCCAAACAAAAGAAUGUGAACAUAUCUUAAUAGUCUUUAUACCGCAUACAUGUUGAAAUGAUAAUAAUUUGGAUAAUCGGGGUAAACAAA